rnacentral:rRNA from 1 species
AGAGUUUGAUCCUGGCUCAGGAUGAACGCUGGCGGCGUGCUUAACACAUGCAAGUCGAACGGGCUCAUAUUGAAACCUAGUGAUUUAUGAGUUAGUGGCGGACGGGUGAGUAACGCGUGGAAAACCUGCCGUAUACUGGGGGAUAACACUUAGAAAUAGGUGCUAAUACCGCAUAAGCGCACAGCUUCGCAUGAAGUGGUGUGAAAAACUCUGGUGGUAUACGACGGUUCCGCGUCUGAUUAGCUUGUUGGUGGGGUAAUGGCUCACCAAGGCGACGAUCAGUAGCCGGCCUGAGAGGGUGAACGGCCACAUUGGGACUGAGACACGGCCCAAACUCCUACGGGAGGCAGCAGUGGGGAAUAUUGCACAAUGGGGGAAACCCUGAUGCAGCGACGCCGCGUGAGUGAAGAAGUAUUUCGGUAUGUAAAGCUCUAUCAGCAGGGAAGAAAUAGCGACCUUUGGGUCGCCAGACGGUACCUGAUUAAGAAGCCCCGGCUAACUACGUGCCAGCAGCCGCGGUAAUACGUAGGGGGCAAGCGUUAUCCGGAUUUACUGGGUGUAAAGGGAGCGUAGACGGCAGCACAAGUCUGAAGUGAAAUGCCGGGGCUUAACCCCGGAACUGCUUUGGAAACUGUGCAGCUAGAGUGCAGGAGAGGUAAGUGGAAUUCCUAGUGUAGCGGUGAAAUGCGUAGAUAUUAGGAGGAACACCAGUGGCGAAGGCGGCUUACUGGACUGUAACUGACGUUGAGGCUCGAAAGCGUGGGGAGCAAACAGGAUUAGAUACCCUGGUAGUCCACGCUGUAAACGAUG